GACCAGGGGAGGAAGCUUCAUCUUUUUGCAGCUCUCUGCUUUGAUUUAUUUAUUCCUUUAGUAAACAUACGACUUUGUACAGGCACAGAGCAAGGUGCUGAGGGAAAUGUUGUCAAGGUGAGCCAAUACAGGCUUCUCUUCAGAGGAAACAGCUGGCUUGGAUUAAAAGAACUGGAUUUUUAAAGGAACUCAAUAGAAAUAUUUCUAAACACUUCCCAGACUCAGGCUAGGCUAACCAAUGUGCAUGAAGUGAGACCUCUGAGCCUGGCAAAUCUCUUCUGGUGAAAAUCCAACCUAUCUAGCCACAGUAUUUGGUAGGCUCCACGAAUAGACUCUGAGCUGGAAGUAACACAACAGAGCUAAAUCAGCACCAAGGACAGUGUCAACCGUUCCAUCAAAUUCCUUCACCAGUACUCUCUCUGCUAUAACUCUGCAGACUGCACGGUUCACAGGCAGAAGUGUUCAUCAUAUGUAACACUCCACUUCAGACCCUUCAAGUCUCAGGAUAGAUAACAAGUAAUUAUUUAUCUUAUACAUUUUACAAAUAUAUCAAGUACAUACCACCGAUUUUUUAAGCUCUUGAUUCUUAAAUCUGAAAAUAUCACUUGGAGUGUGAAUUAAGCUUGUAAUUUUUGGCCACUCCCAUACAACUUGUGAUCCAAAUGAUGAUCAAUGAGGCAAUGAGGUCUGAGUAUGUCUCUUUCUGGUUAUGUCCUCAUGUUAUUGAUUCAGAAGGUUCUCUUUGAGAAUAUUAACUUCCAUUGUCAUGUUAGCUUGCCUCUAGACAAGUUUCCAAGCAGAAUUUGAUCCAUUCAUCAAGUAGACCUUACUUCAAAAGUAAAAUUUACUAUUUUAAUGACUUAGUGAUAUAUCUGUAGAGACUUUUAGGUACUUGGUGGCCUCACAGUUUAAAAUAAGGACUGAUCAAGCCAACAAUAUAUUAUCAUUGAAAAUCAUGGUCAUCAAUGAAGUUUGCUUUAAGGUGAUUUUCCUUUGUAAAAUAUGGAUGAUCUCAAAUGGUUUAUACUUGCCUUUUAAUUUCUCAUUAAUUCUCUUCUCUAACUAGAUUUUAGUAUUAUUUCAUUUCUAUAGGUUGAAUUAUGUCCCCUCAAAGGAUAGAUGUUGAAAUCAUCGUUUCAGCAAUACGACAAUUUUAUAUUUAGGGAAUGUGAUAUAUUUAGGGAAUGAGUUUUGACAGAGGAAAAACUUUAAAACCAGUCAUUGUGAUGUUCUCCAGUCCUUAAAUGAAAGGGGAUUGUAGACAUAGGGGUAGAACAGAUGCAGAAUAAAAGGUUAUUUGAAGAUACCGUCAGAAGAUAGUGUAUGACUAGAGCCAUGUUGUAUAUGCAAAUGAGGCAAGGAAUGGCAUUCAUUGAUGGCAAACACCAUGAAUCAGAAGAAGUAAUAAGAGAUUCUAUUAAAAGAUAUCAAAGAGAGUCUGACUCUUUCCGCACCUUUACUUCAAACGUCUAACCAUCAUCACUGUGAGAAAAACAUUUCUUUUACAUUGAAACCAUUGGUUUGGGACAUUUUAUUAUUACAUCACUAUAAAACCAAUACACUCAUUGGAAGUUAAGUCAGUGAACAUGUACAACAAUAUAUUGCUCUGUGGCCAAAAAGUUAUAGUUGUAUAUUUGCCACACAUACCUGAGAUCUCAACAGUGGUUAAUCUAAAGCACAAGGGUUAUGUUUGAGGCCAGCUUGGGCUGCAUACUGACAUGCUUGCUAUGUCAACAACAGCUCAAGUGAGCUACUGCAUUUCCUCAAACUAAAUUUUUUACAUGAAUAAAAACCAUCCUAAAAUGUCACCUGACCCUGUGAAGGUCCUGAAUAAAAAAGAUUGGAAAUAUCAUUAUAAGCCAGAUCAAAUACUGACAGAAUUAAAUUAGAAAUUUAAAUUCAAAGUAUUUAGGGAAUGUUGCUCUGUAAAUGAUAUGUCCCUUAAGCAUAGUGCUUAAGGUGUUGAUCCAAAGACAAAGGCUCUCUCCUGAAAAACUGAAUUUAGAACAUAAAAUUAAAUGGGCUUUACAGUGCUAAUACUGAAAAUAUUUUCUCUUCUAGUUCUUUUAAAUACAUACCACAUUAUCUUUGUCUAUGGCCAUCCUACUUUGCAACAGCACACAAUGACUUCUUACCCUUGUUUAGACAAUAAUGUGAAAAUACAUAUGUUCAUACACACAUACACAUACACAUAUACAUAUACAUGCUGACUUCCUGCAUACAUGUAUCAAAAAGAUAUGUACUAUUCUUAAACUUUGAACAUAUCAAUCAAAACAAAUAUAAAUAAAGAAAUUAAUUAGGCUUAUUUUUUAAGGGGCUUGACUUUCACAUAUAGUUUUAAAUAAUCCCCAGCUUAUACUGUGGGCAGAAGGAACAGAUGUUUUAGCUAACAUGCCUAGGGAAAAUGAUACAGGGUCACGCAUGUGACUAUUCCAAUUCAUUUAUUUAGUUAUUUCUAAGGCGUCUGUGCUAUAGUUAAGAUAGAAUUCAAAUUUUAAUGAGUUCACACUCUUAUUUGAUCAUUUAUUUCAACUCUAUUUUAUCAAAAAUAUUUUCAACUGUUAAGAAGUGUUUUGGUCCUAUUCAUCAUUCAUUCCAGUAACUUCUCAUUAAAAAUAAUUGUUCAAUUAAUUACCACAGGCUAUUGCAAAAUUUGGGAGGAUAAAAAGAGAUGUAAAGAGGAAAAUAAAUUUAUUCAUAUUUCUGCUACCCAUAUGCAAGAACUACCAAUAUGUGUCAUUUUCUCACAGGGUUUAUCUAUAUACUUUUAAGGCAAAUUUUGAGUAGUACUGAAAAAGCACUUAAUCCUCAUAUUGUUAUAUAACUUUUCAUUCCUUUCUUCCCAAAGCAUACUUCUAAUCAUUAUGGUUCUAGAACAUACCCUGUAAUUAUUAUAUUAAGACUUUGAAAUUCUGAAAUUUGAAAUUGCUCUAGAGUAAAAAACUACUGUGGAAGGAGCCGUUGCAGGAGUUUUAAUGAGAAUCUCCUUGAAGCUCUGGAACAAAUGUAUCAAGUGAAAAUUAUAAAGAAUACUGAUAAAUAUCACCAAAUUAAUUUCAAUAAAAUAAGCCUUUGCAUAUUUUCAAACAGAAAGAGGAUAUGAACAUGAAAUUUUAACCAGUCACAAAUGCAUAUACAUGAAGAAAAAUAUCUCAUUAAUGUAUCUCAUUAUUUUUAACGUGCACUGCUUUGACAGCACUGUUUCUUCAGGUUUAUAAAGUUUUAGAAUUACCCAUCUGGAAGAGAAAUCCUUCCUUUUACAUAUGAGAAAAUGGAAACUAAGGAUGUCACGUAUCCUAUUAAAACCAGUGCUAGCAGGAGACAGGGUCAGGGCAUGUGUCAUCCAGUGUAGUCAUCCUUUUUCACUUACUGCAAAGUUCUCCAGUCAUUAUAAGCAAGUUGCCCAUAAUAAUCACCUAUAUCAGUCCUCUUAACAAGAAGCUCUAAGCUCAAUUUAGCGUUUUAACUACUUGUGAAAUAUUUGUGUGACAUGAAUAACUUACAAAAUCGCAUGUAAUAAGAAAUGUAGUUGGAAUCCCUUGAAAAACUUAUUUGGCAUAAGCUGUGGGCUUGGUUUUAGAAAGGGCUUUAAUUUCCAAGCAUUUAAAAAAGGAAAAAGCUGCCAGAAGACUAUGCCACAUAGGUCUGCUAUGAGGUGUCAUCCUGGUUACUGUUUUCUUGCUGUUAAAGACACCCUGACCGAAACAACUUAUAGAAAACAUUUAACUAGGCGCUUAACCUGUUGAAGUUUCAUCGGGUUAGUUCAUGGCCAUUAUGUCAGCAUAUAUGGCAGCAAGCCGACGGUGAUGGUGCUGAAGAAGUAGUUGGCAGCGUACAUUUUAUCUGAAAGUUGGAAGCAGAAGAGUGACACUGGGCCUGGUUUGGGCUUUUAAACCUCAGUGCCCGAGACCAGUAACAUACCUCCAACAAGGACAUGCCUUCUAGUCCUUCCACCAACGGGGCACCAAACAUUCAAAGAGAUGAGCGGGUGGGGGGCAUUCCCAUCCAAACCAACACAUAUAUUUUUGUCCCUGCUGCACGCUGAAUCAAAUACUGCGUGUGUCUUAGGAACAUGCUUUCAAGAGGCUGAACCCUUCAAAAACUAGAGAGGCAGGAAGGAUAAGAUGAGUCAAACUUCCUGAGGAUUGAGGGAUUCUACCGGGUGUUGAGAAAUUCUCACUAGGCCUUUACUGAAACUAGGUUGCUGCUCAUUGACAUUUUCCACAGAUGUCAAAUCUGGCCCAUGCUUUGAAGACUUUCAAGCCCUUUCUUUUCUCCAUCAUUCUCAUGUACUCACAGUCACAUCUCACCCCACUUUGGAUUUUACUUCUUCGAGUAUCUGAACCAACUCAGAAAGCAAUAAACACAAAGAGAAAUUUGACUUAUCCAGAGGCUGGAGCUUUCUAUGGAAAUAGUUAAAUAAUACUUCAUAUUAUAAAAAGAAUUCCUUGUCCCAAGAAUCCUAAUGAGGAAACCACCCUUGGAUAGCAGAGGACAAUUAUGAGGAUGGUAACAAUGUACUACUUUUAUGAUAUAAUAAGCAAAUUCAGAAAUGUUAGCCAGAAUGAGAGCAAUAUGUAUGGUGUCUCAGUGUUCUUCGAUUGUGACAUUUUCAAUAACUACAGUACUUGGUUUCUAGAAGUAAUUUACCUUGUUUCUCUAGAUUCAUAAUUGCCCAGAAUUAUAAACUCCAAAUAAAAUCCAAGAAAGAUGUCCAAUACUCAUUUGAAUUCUAUAAUUGGCUAUUUCUAGCAAUGGCUAAUAUUA